AUGAAAUAAUCUCUCUUUUUCAUUGUAAAAUUGUAGCCGGUAAAAGUGAAGCUUGAAGAUGACCAGGAAGUGGCUCUGGUGUUCCUGGACACUGAAGGCUUUGCUGCUACUAAUGUAUCAGAAACCUAUGAUGCCAAAGUGUUUGCUGUUGCAACUCUUCUCAGCUCGUAUCUUAUUUACAACUCAGUCAAGAUCAUCGAUCAGGCCGACAUAGACUACUUGGAGCUUCUGUCACGGCGUACACAG